UUGUGGUUCUAAACUAACCGAUACACAACAGGAAGGCGAAAUUUUUAAGACGUAAGAAAAAAAUGCAAUACUAUUUGCUCCAUUCUAAUUUAGUGUCGAAUGCCAAUAGUGCAGUCAGUGUUCGUCUUUGCUACUGAUAAUUACACGACCGAAUAAAUCCUUGUGUCUUGGCGUUAAGUAUAAUUGUUUGUACUUUUCAAAUGACUAAUCAAAUUGAAAAUUAUGAAUUCAAAAAUCACGUUUUAAAUCAUAACCAUUGGCAUAAACCAAAAUGUAUUAAUAGCGUCAAAUUUAUAAACCGAAAAAAUGUGCAGGAUUCCGAUGAGAUUUCAACGAACAAAUUUGAUAAACGAUUCAGAUCUCACUCAAUCAAUUAUGUGUCGUCCGACUAUGAAAGUUUGGAUUAUGACACUUACGAAAGUGAACUCACUGUUAGAGAAGAAAAACAGCAUGGUUAUAAAACUGUAGUUGUAAUUAAUCUGAUAAGAUGGCUUAUUUAUUUUUCAAUUGCCAUUUGCACUGCAGCUGUUGGAAUAUGUAUCGAUAUUAUCAUUGAAUACUUGUGCAGUUGGAAGUAUGAAUCGAUACAAAGAUGCAUCGAUAAAGAAAGUAAUUAUUCAACGACAGAGUGCGCAGUUAAUUGGAUACUGUUUACCAUUGUCCCAGCAACUAUAGGAUGUUGUGUUGUUUUGUUAAUGGAGCCCUCGGCUGCCGGAAGUGGUAUACCAUUCGUAAUAGCGUACUUAAACGGUGUGCGAAUUCCAAGAAUGACAGCAGUUCGUUGUCUAUUGGUUAAAGUCGUUAGCGUGAUAUGCGUUUGUGUGGCCGGCCUUGGCGGAGGAAAGGAAGGACCACUGAUACACAUUGGGUCUAUGGUCGGUGGUUCAGUGGUCGAAGCCUGGUGGAAAGGGUUGAGAAAUAGUCCUGGCCAACAAUUUAUCGGACCGUUGCAAAAUGACCGAGAAAGAAGAGAUAUGAUGGCAGCCGGAUCUGCCGCAGGGUUAUCAUCUGCCUUUGGGGCACCAGUUGGCGGAACGUUGAUGAGUUUAGAAGAAGGUACUAGUUUUUGGAGCUCCAGUCUUAUGUGGAAAGUAUUCUUUUGUGCCGCAGUAGCAUUUCCGACCUGCAAUGUUGGAAAAAAGUUAUUGAAGGAUAACAAUAUAAACGUUACCGAGUCGGUCGAUGGCCAAAGUUUGUACUUCUUUGGAAACUUCAAUGACACAACGCUUUCUUUUUCUUACUCAGAAUUUCCUAUUUUCAUAGCAUUUGGUACUUUCGGAGGAAUCCUAGGAGCGCUGUUUGUUACUGUUAAUUACCGGUUGUCCAUUUAUAGGAUGAAGCACGUCACGUCAAAUAGAAAAAAAUUACUUGAAUGUAUACUUACUGCAAUUAUAGCUUCAGUUGUCAGUUUAUUAUCAAUGUCGUUAUUAAACUACUGUCAUUCAAAAGCAGGAAAAAACGCAUCAUACGCUGUGCAAAUGAACUGUCCAAAAGGAUUUUAUAACGAAAUAAGUACAUUCUGGCUUCAUACGCAAGAAGAAAAUAUCAGAACGUUAUUUCAUAGUCCCAUCGACGAAUUCUCUGUAGUGCCAUUAUUACUCUAUGGAAUGAUAUAUUUUUUCUUAACCGUAUUCACAGUCGGUCUAAACAUGUCAGCUGGAAUAUUUUUACCAUCAUUAUUGAUUGGUGCCGUAUGGGGACGUAUUGCUGGCACAGUAAUCCAUUAUUAUGUACCAUACAUUGUCGGGCUCGACCCGUCAAAAUAUGCAUUGCUCGGGGCUGCAGCUACAUUAGGCGGCAUUGCCAGGAUCACCAUAAGUCUAACCGUAGUGCUCAUCGAAGCCACGGGAAAUCUACAAUUUCUGUUACCGCUCAUGAUCACUUUGUUCACGGCCAAGUGGACCGGCGAUUUCUUUAGCGACGGUAUAUACGAGAUGCAGAUCAAUCUAUCCGGGGUGCCCAUGUUGGUCAGCGAACCACCGCCUUUGACCGGGGACAUCACGGCCGGCGACUUUAUGAACGACAAGGUCAGUGCGCUGCCUCAGAUAAUGAUGAUCGGAAAGCUAGUGGACGUGUUAAACACGACCAGACAUAACGGAUUUCCGGUAGUGUUGCCAAAUGUCUGUUUUUGCAAUCGUAUCAACGAAAAAGAUCACAAGUGCUAUGGGCUUCUGAAAGGGUUCAUUCUACGGUCGCAGUUGAACGUUGUUGUCAAGCACAAGUUGUACAUCACGCCGUUGCACGAUGAAAACUUUUGUAAGAAACUGGAGCUCAUAAGAAAAUCAACGUACUUUUCUCACGAAUCCAAUACAUUCGAAAAAAUAAUAGUCAACGAAAACGAAAAAAAUAUCGCCAUUGAUUUACGGCCUUACAUGAAUCCAGCUCCGUACAUAACCAGACUGGAAACGAGUUUGCCAAGGACUUUUAGAUUGUUUCGCACACUUGGUCUGCGGCAUAUAGUAGUCAUCAAUAAUACAAAUGAGGUGGUUGGCAUGAUCACACGAAAAGAUCUUGCAAGAUUCCGUCUUUGGAGAAAAGCUGCCACGAUGGGUCUAAAAGAACUCAACGUUUAUUAAGUGUAUAAAUUAAAAAUAACUACACCGGUUAUCCUAUAAUUAUGACCUAUACUACAAAAUGAUAGCGUGAGGCAAAUGGAAAAUCGUGUACAAAUACAGUGCCGAACUCCUGCAAUUAUAUGCUGUCUCUGAAUAAAAUAAAAUUAUUAAGUUUGUAGUAAAAAAUAUCAAAUAUGUAAUAGUUUUUUGAUAGGCGGUGUGUAUCUAAUAGAUUAAUAACUAAGACCAAUGUUGAUAAUUGUAACUAAAGUACCUAUCAGUUGAUACAGUGAUGAGCAAAUUAUUUAUGGCUGUACAGCAUAUUAUAGUAAAAAAAAGUCCAUUACAUCCCUUGAGAAUAGGUCCCUGAAUUGAUAUUUGUUGCCCGUCUCUGCUACUCGGCAGUUAAUAUUAUAAUUGGCGAAAGAAACUAAUGAGCCGUAACAAGGAAUCUGUACUUUAAUUCGCAAGUUUUUUAUAAUAUACUACGCCCCGUCACGCAAACCACGUCUAUUCCCGCUUGCUUUUUAUUUAUAUUC